GGAGAUUUAGCUCAGUGGUAGAGCGCUUGCCUAGCAAAUGCAAGGCCCUGGGUUCGGUCCCCAGCUCCG
rnacentral:tRNA from 1 species